rnacentral:rRNA from 1 species
UGGGGAAUAUUGGACAAUGGGCGAAAGCCUGAUCCAGCCAUGCCGCGUGUGUGAAGAAGGUCUUCGGAUUGUAAAGCACUUUAAGUUGGGAGGAAGGGCAGUAAGCGAAUACCUUGCUGUUUUGACGUUACCGACAGAAUAAGCACCGGCUAACUCUGUGCCAGCAGCCGCGGUAAUACAGAGGGUGCAAGCGUUAAUCGGAAUUACUGGGCGUAAAGCGCGCGUAGGUGGUUCGUUAAGUUGAAUGUGAAAGCCCCGGGCUCAACCUGGGAACUGCAUCCGAGACUGGCGAGCUAGAGUAGGGCAGAGGGUGGUGGAAUUUCCUGUGUAGCGGUGAAAUGCGUAGAUAUAGGAAGGAACACCAGUGGCGAAGGCGACCACCUGGGCUCAUACUGACACUAAGGUGCGAAAGCGUGGGGAGCAAACAGG